UGCAAAGGCUGCAUUGCUCUCUUCCGCGGGGAUCUGACGCUGCUUACUCCUUUGGGAAGGGCAAUCCUCUCCUGGGAUCUGUAUUUGCACAGGAUUUGGCACAGACAGAACUUGGCAGAAGACCAAAGGGUUCCUUCCAAUCUCUCAGAGGCUUCCUGAGAGCACAGAUGGAUGAGCGAGACUCAGCUGGCCUUG